UGAGAUGUAAGUUAAUUAAACUGUAUGACUCAUGAUCAUAAAAUACAGCAAUGUUUUCUCAA
rnacentral:tRNA from 1 species